UACAGAGGGCUCAAGCGUUGUUCGGAUUCAUUGGGCGUAAAGGGUGUGUAGGUGGCGCCGUAAGUCGGGUGUGAAAUUUCGGAGCUUAACUCCGAAACUGCAUUCGAUACUGCGGUGCUUGAGGACUGGAGAGGAGACUGGAAUUCAUGGUGUAGCAGUGAAAUGCGUAGAGAUCAUGAGGAAGACCAGUUGCGAAGGCGGGUCUCUGGACAGUUCCUGACACUGAGACACGAAGGCCAGGGGAGCAAACGGG
rnacentral:rRNA from 1 species